GCAAUAGCUGAUUGCAUUUAAUUUAAUGUAGUUACUACUUGGUAGUUUAAAUUUCUAGGUAGAAUUAUGAUGAUGACAUUAUCUAUCUAUUAGUCUUGACCAAAUUACGUGCCAGCAGUCGCGGUAAUACGUAGAAGACAAGUGUUAUUCAUCUUUAUUAGGUUUAAAGGGUACCAAGACGGUUAAUAAAGCCCAAAAGAAAUGAAUACGGGGGACACAUUAACUAGAGUUAUAUGAAAGGAAGCUCUAAGGUACUGUUGAGUGGAGAGAUGAAAUUUUAUGAUACCAGAUUAAUGGCACAGAUUUAUGCGAAGGCAUCUUCUUAUGUAAUAACUGACGUUGUAGGACGAAGGCUUAGGAAGUGAACAGGAUUAGGUACCCCAGUAAUCUAGGCAGAAAAUGAUGAAUGUCAUAGGUUCAAUAUUGUGUCUAUAAAUGAAAGUGUAAGCAUUCCACCUCAAGAGUAAUUUGGCAACAUUGGAACUGAAAUCAUUAGACCGUUUCUGAAACCAGUAGUGAAGUAUGUUGUUUAAUUAGAUGAUACACAAAAACCUUACCACAAUUUGAAUAUAUAUAAAAUAUAUUUACAAGCGCUGCACGGCUGUCUACAGUUAAUGUCGUGAGACUUUGGUUAACUCCAUUAAAUUGACGAAAACCCUAAUUUUAUUUAUAAAUAUAAU
rnacentral:rRNA from 3 species